CAUUGUCAGAGAGCACGGCAGGAUCCUUAUCCAGAGACUUGGAUGGGCCCCUACGUCCAACAUGGCAGCUUUUCUGGAUGUCAUGGAAGACAGCAAUCAACCUGCCAAACUGCUCAUCCAUCCAUGAACUCAUGCACUUUCACAACUGUGCACUUGAAGAACCAGCAACCAGCUCUAAGGACAGGGAAAAACAGAUGGAACUUGCGCCAUAGCCAAAAAGAGACAUUUCUCCGGUAAGAAGAGGAAAGACUAAGCCUCCUGCAAGACUAAUGAACACAGCUGUCCUUCUGUUUGCCUCAGCAAGAUGCAAAGCCAUCACUCUGGUGCCUGGGAUAAAAGGAAACACUGAACGAAUCCUGACGUGUUGUUAAAGCAACGAGGGAUUUAAGAAAAAAAAAUAAGAAAAAAAGAGAAACAUUAGCAAGCUUCUGGAAGGAAAAGGGAGGAGAGAGGGGGCAGAAUGACUCAGAGCACAACAGUGAGAAUAUAGUCUAUUCUGCAUGUGGAGAAGUAGAGGGAGGUAAAGGACCAAUUAUGAGGAUAUAAGGGAGAAAAUUGCAACUGAGUUGUCAUUACACAGAAGAAUGACAGGAUGAGGUCAGAAGCUGCCAUAAUAGUAGGCAGUGAGUGAGACAAUGACCAAGUGAAUCAGCUUGCCAGGGGACGAGAGAAGAGGAUGAGUUUCAAAGAUAAGUGUUAGCUUUGUCUGAAAUCAGCUGAGAUAAAGUUCAACAGAGGAUUGCUGCAGGCUGGACCGUGACAAAGAUCUGCAAAAGGUCAGACUGGCCUGCUUAAUGAACAACUGCUUCAACUACUACAGGGGAAAAGGUCCUGAGUAACUGUCACUUCCUGCAGGGAGAGAUUACGACUGAAAUUUGUAUUCGGGAGAAGAAACUUCAAGAAGCCUUACUAAGAAGAGGAAGAGAAUCGCAGGAAGGGGUUAAAAAGAAGCCAACAAUUGUGUAUAAACGUGAAUGAAAGGAGGCCAGAUUAGAUUGAAAAUUGAGAUACAAGCAAAGCCAUUCGGUGAGGGCUGAACCCAUGGGGGAAAAAAACUGAACUGAUAAAAGAAACAUCCGAUGCAGAUUGAUGGAGGACAUGGACAAUGUAUCAGUGACAUAAACACACCAAGCAGCAUCUUGUUAGAUAUUGACGCUGACAGACCACUUGACCCUCUUAUCACGGACAGUAAUGCGGCUCGUUCUCCAUUCAAUGGGACUCUUACAGAAGACCGAGCAAGAUGCGUUGGACGACCUGACAUGCUGGAGGCUUUUUCACAAACCGUGCAACUUCUUUAGGAGAGUGGAAUGACUAAAGAAAGAAGAGAUGGACCUCUUUGUGGAAUAGAAAAGAACAUCACUAUUUAAGAAAUCUUUAAAACAAAGACAUCAGGAUUUUAUUAUUUUCUGAGAGUGAACAGUGAAGGAUUGCACAUUGGACUGAAACGCUUCACCUGCUCUGACAGCUGCUCUGCAUCAUUCUCCAAUGAGAUGAACAUACACACCUGAGGCGUUCAUUUUAACUAUUGUGUCUUGGACUGACUGGAGCCAUUUCUGGUCUCAUAACAGGAGAUGUGACACAUUACAGAGGUUUUUUCUUUUCCCAUGGAGGACCUCUCGAGAAGAAAUGUGAGCAGGUUCUAUGAUGAGCAAGAUGCCUACUUUGAUUCUUUGAAUGAAUAAUGUCAACGUGGUUGUUAAUGUCAUCGAGGCAUUAUGUUAGGAACUGCCUGCUCUCCUCCGAACAAAUCGACACAACACCAGAGCCUCCAUCCAGCUGUGGAUAGACCAGCUGCGUGUUUAUGUGGGGCAGCGUUUGGUUGCGAUUCUAUCGAGGAUGUGUGAUCCUGCACUGAGCUUUUAACCCGGCUGUGUGUGAGUGUAUUUUCAGUCACUCAGAACUCUGUUUGCGUGUGUGUGUGUUCCUGGAAUCUCCUCACCAGCGACAGAGCUGGACCUGAACAGUAGUGGUGAGAAGGGGGACAGGGAGGGGGAGGAGAAGGAGGAAGAGGAGAAGAGAAAGCUGUUGAAAGAAACCAGCAAGACAAAGAAGAAUAAAAAGCUGAAAACAUGCUCGGAUAAGGAGGAGAAACUGAGGAGACUUUGGCUGCCCCCCUGGUGCAAUGUGUGGCGUCGCGCUCUGUGGGGGUGGGGUUCUGUGAUGGUAACCAUGGUCCCGGGCAGCCGCUAUGUCUGCAGCACUCAUGCAAGAGAGGAUGACUCUACUAAUGACCGGGAGGAGAGAAUUUUAGCCGUGCUGGGCAUCAUUGGAACCAUCCUCAAUCUUUUAGUGGUGAUAUUUGUUUACAUUUAUACCUCCGUCACUUAACCUUUUUUGCAAGACGUAAUAAGAGACUUUCAGAGCUCACAUUUCUUUACACCGCCACCCUUCCUCUUGAAGGAUUUAUAUACUUUGAAGUUUGCAUACCGAAUAAGCACAGCGGAUCUUUGGGAGUGUGUUCAACUGGACAUCAGAUGCAUUUCUCCACACCUGUACUACUGCCACUUCCUCUGCAGAGGUGAAAUCAUCUGAACUUCCAAAACUGUUCAUAUUAAACUGCACCUUCACAUUUCGUAACAUAUUUCCACAAACCCAACACCUGCUGACAGCAAAAGCCAAGCCUCUGCAUGUGCAUCACCCCGUAUAUGUUGGAUAAUAUCUAGUGACUUCUGAGACAGCUGGAGUUGAGCUCUUGUCGUAUUUGCCUGUAAAGCGUUCUCGACUGUCUUACACAACUUUGAGAUUUGACAUGCACUGCCAGCUAAAUUUGUCACGGUGGUCAAACCAACAAGACAGCUUUGAGCCAUUCAGAAUAAUUUAGCCAAUUAGGUGCGGGGAUUUACCCUAUUUAAACUUUUAUUAUGGACCAAAAUAUGCAAGUAACUCAAGAGAAUUAUCAGCAGGCACAUCACUUACAGUAGGAGUACCUGGGAAGCUACUUGAGUAGAUUUUUGUGGUAAGGAGAAUCCUUGCAAGUGUUUUACAUGGAAUUGAAGUGCCCAUACCUGAGCACACCGGAGGAGAGAUUCCUGGCUGUGCUCGGAGUCAUUGGCAUCGUACUGAACCUCCUGCUGCUUCUCUUUGUCUAUUUAUACACCUCCAUCUGAUGAGGUGUCUUCAAGUUCUUCAUAUGGCAAGUUAUUAGAUAAUUGCAACCCUACCAGUCCCAAUCAUCAUAUACUAUUGGAGCUUCUUUUGCCACACAAGGCGGCGAUUGCAUUGCAACUUGGGCUGACUUUUUUUUUUUUUUUUUUUUUUAUUGUUUAUUU